UGACGGAGUACAACGAACGGUCAAAGAGCGCGUUGAAGUUUGAGAGCGUGGAGAAGGGCGAGACUCAGGUGGUUUCCGGCACCAAUUACCGGCUGAUCUUGGUCGUCAAGGACGGUCCUUCGAUCAAGAAAUUUGAAGCUGUCGUUUGAGAGAAGCCAUGGGAGCAUUUCAAGAGUCUCACCUCGUUUAAGCCUAUGUUUGGGGGAUGGACUCCGAUAGACCCCACGGAGAAGCACGUGAUGGAGAUCGGGCAGUUCGCGGUGACGGAGUACAACAAACGGUCAAAGAGCGCGUUGAAGUUCGAGAGGGUGGAGAAGGCCGAGACUCAGGUGGUUUCCGGCACCAAUUACCGGCUGAUCUUGGUCGUCAAGGACGGACCUUCGACCAAGAAAUUUGUAGCUGUCGUUUGGGAGAAGCCAUGGGAGCAUUUCAAGAGUCUCACCUCGUUUAAGCCUAUGUUUGGGGGAUGGACUCCGAUAGACCCCACGGAGAAGCACGUGAUGGAGAUCGGGCAGUUCGCGGUGACAGAGUAAUACAAACGGUCAAAGAGCGCGUUGAAGUUCGAGAGCGUGGAGAAGGCCUGGACUCAGGUGCUUUCCGGCACCAAUUACCGGCUGAUCUUGGUCGUCAAGGACGGACCUUCGACCAAGAAAUUUGAAGCUGUCGUUUGGGAGAAGCCAUGGGAGCAUUUCAAGAGUCUCACCUCGUUUAAGCCUAUGUUUGGGGGAUGGACUCCGAUAGACCCCACGGAGAAGCACGUGAUGGAGAUCGGGCAGUUCGCGGUGACAGAGUACAACAAACGGUCAAAGAGCGCGUUGAAGUUCGAGAGCGUGGAGAAGGCCUGGACUCAGGUCGUUUCCGGCACCAAUUACCGGCUGAUCUUGGUCGUCAAGGACGGACCUUCGACCAAGAAAUUUGUAGCUGUCGUUUGGGAGAAGCCAUGGGAGCAUUUCAAGAGUCUCACCUCGUUUAAGCCUAUGUUUGGGGGAUGGACUCCGAUAGACCCCACGGAGAAGCACGUGAUGGAGAUCGGGCAGUUCGCGGUGACAGAGUAAUACAAACGGUCAAAGAGCGCGUUGAAGUUCGAGAGCGUGGAGAAGGCCUGGACUCAGGUGCUUUCCGGCACCAAUUACCGGCUGAUCUUGGUCGUCAAGGACGGACCUUCGACCAAGAAAUUGUUAGCUGUCGUUUGGGAGAAGCCAUGGGAGCAUUUCAAGAGUCUCACCUCGUUUAAGCCUAUGCUUGGCGGAUGGACUCCGAUAGACCCCACGGAGAAGCACGUGAUGGAGAUCGGGCAGUUCGCGGUGACAGAGUACAUCAAACGGUCAAAGAGCGCGUUGAAGUUCGAGAGCGUGGAGAAGGCCUGGACUCAGGUGGUUUCCGGCACCAAUUACCGGCUGAUCUUGGUCGUCAAGGACGGACCUUCGACCAAGAAAUUUGAAGUUGUCGUUUGGGAGAAGCCAUGGGAGCAUUUCAAGAGUCUCACCUCGUUUAAGCCUAUGCUUGGGGAUGGACUCCGAUAGACCCCACGGAGAAGCACGUGAUGGAGAUCGGGCAGUUCGAGGUGACGGAGUGCAAUAAACGGUCAAAGAGCGCGUUGAAGUUCGAGAGCGUGGAGAAGGCCUGGACUCAGGUGGUUUCCGGCACCAAUUACCGGCUGAUCUUGGUCGUCAAGGACGGACCUUCGACCAAGAAAUUUGAAGCUGUCGUUUGGGAGAAGCCAUGGGAGCAUUUCAAGAGUCUCACCUCGUUUAAGCCUAUGUUUGGGGGAUGGACUCCGAUAGACCCCACGGAGAAGCACGUGAUGGAGAUCGGGCAGCUCGCGGUGACGGAGUACAACAAACGGUCAAAGAGCGCGUUGAAGUUCGAGAGCGUUUAGAAGGCCGAGACUCAAGUGGUUUCCGGCACCAAUUACCGGCUGAUCUUGGUCGUCAAGGACGGACCUUCGACCAAGAAAUUUGUAGCUGUCGUUUGGGAGAAGCCAUGGGAGCAUUUCAAGAGUCUCACCUCGUUUAAGCCUAUGUUUGGGGGAUGGACUCCGAUAGACCCCACGGAGAAGCACGUGAUGGAGAUCGGGCAGUUCGCGGUAACAGAGUACAACAAACGGUCAAAGAGCGCGUUGAAGUUCGAGAGCGUGGAGAAGGCCUGGACUCAGGUCGUUUCCGGCACCAAUUACCGGCUGGUCUUGGUCGUCAAGGACGGACCUUCGACCAAGAAAUUGUUAGCUGUCGUUUGGGAGAAGCCAUGGGAGCAUUUCAAGAGUCUCACCUCGUUUAAGCCUAUGCUUGGGGGAUGGAAUCCGAUAGACCCCACGGAGAAGCACGUGAUGGAGAUCGGGCAGUUCGCUGUGACAGAGUACAACAAACGGUCAAAGAGCGCGUUGAAGUUCGAGAGCGUGGAGACGGCCUGGACUCAGGUGGUUUCCGGCACCAAUUACCGGCUGAUCUUGGUCGUCAAGGACGGACCUUCGACCAAGAAAUUUGUAGCUGUCAUUUGGGAGUAGCCAUGGGAGCAUUUCAAGAGUCUCACCUCGUUUAAGCCUAUGCUUGGGGGAUGGACUCCGAUAGACCCCACGGAGAAGCACGUGAUGGAGAUCGGGCAGUUCGCGGUGACAGAGUACAACAAACGGUCAAAGAGCGCGUUGAAGUUCGAGAGCGUUGAGAAGGCUUGGACUCAGGUGGUUUCCGGCACCAAUUACCGGCUGAUCUUGGUCGUCAAGGACGGACCUUCGACCAAGAAAUUUGAAGCUGUCGUUUGAGAGAUGCCAUGGGAGCAUUUCAAGAGUCUCACCUCGUUUAAGCCUAUGCUUGGGGGAUGGACUCCGAUAGAGCCCACGGAGAAGCACGUGAUGGAGAUCGGGCAGUUCGCGGUGACAGAGUACAAUAAACGGUCAAAGAGCGCGUUGAAGUUCGAGAGCGUUGAGAAGGCUUGGACUCAGGUGGUUUCCGGCACCAAUUACCGGCUGAUCUUGGUCGUCAAGGACGGACCUUCGACCAAGAAAUUUGUAGCUGUCGUUUGGGAGUAGCCAUGGGAGCAUUUCAAGAGUCUCACCUCGUUUAAGCCUAUGCUUGGGGGAUGGACUCCGAUAGACCCCACGGAGAAGCACGUGAUGGAGAUCGGGCAGUUCGCGGUGACGGAGUACAACAAACGGUCAAAGAGCGCGUUGAAGUUCGAGAGCGUGGAGAAGGCCUGGACUCAGGUGCUUUCCGGCACCAAUUACCGGCUGAUCUUGGUCGUCAAGGACGGAC
rnacentral:lncRNA from 1 species